GGACGAACGCUGGCGGCGUGCUUACCCCAUGCAAGUCGAACGGAAAGGCCCUGCUUUUGUGGGGUGCUCGAGUGGCGAACGGGUGAGUAACACGUGAGUAACCUGCCCUUGACUUUGGGAUAACUUCAGGAAACUGGGGCUAAUACCGGAUAGGAGCUCCUGCUGCAUGGUGGGGGUUGGAAAGUUUCGGCGGUUGGGGAUGGACUCGCGGCUUAUCAGCUUGUUGGUGGGGUAGUGGCUUACCAAGGCUUUGACGGGUAGCCGGCCUGAGAGGGUGACCGGCCACAUUGGGACUGAGAUACGGCCCCGACUCCUACGGGAGGCAGCAGUGGGGAAUAUUGCACAAUGGGCGGAAGCCUGAUGCAGCAACGCCGCGUGCGGGAUGACGGCCUUCGGGUUGUAAACCGCUUUCGCCUGUGACGAAGCGUGAGUGACGGUAAUGGGUAAAGAAGCACCGGCUAACUACGUG
rnacentral:rRNA from 1 species